rnacentral:rRNA from 1 species
UACGUAGGGGGCGAGCGUUGUCCGAAGUUACUGGGCGUAAAGAGCGCGUAGGCGGGUCUUUAAGUGAGGGGUGAAAGGUUCAGGGCUCAACCCGGACACUGCCUUUCAUACUGGGGACCUUGAGUGCGGGAGGGGCGAGUGGAAUGGUCGGUGUAGCGGUGAAAUGCGUAGAUAUCGAUCGGAACACCCAUGGCGAAGGCAGUGUUCUGGGCCAGUACUGACGCUGAGGAGCGAAAGCGUGGGUAGCAAACAGG